ensembl:lncRNA
GUGUAGCAGAGAGAGGCUGUUUGUUUUCUAUCCUUUACAGGAGAAGAGUUCAGGACCACAGCGACCACAGGGGUGGCAAGAAUCCUGGAAGCCUGAGAUCAAACGGAACCAACCAGAGAAAGGAGAGAAACAGAGCACAAAUACACCUAGUUGUUUAUAUUACAAAGAAGAUCAAAAGCUUGUUAGACAUAGGUUAUAAUGGAAGCAUAAAAGGGAUGAGAGGAACUUUACAUAACAUAGAAAUCCUGCAACAAUUCGUAAAUUGCCCAAACACAGUGUUCAGACCGGAUAUGCGCUACCCGUCAAAGGGGGCGAAGAAAUCAGGCCUAAGUUUGAAAAAUGAAAUGGGUUAACUCGAUAGAGGAUGUUUCUAAAGGUCAAGAAAAUAAUGUAGGACCUUUUACCAGGAGAAAGCUAAUUGUAUCUUUUACACUUUACAGUGUGCACUGAGGGAAGUCAGGAAUAGUUUAAACUAGGAUUGAAAAAAAAUUAAACUAGGUGAAAAGGGGGUGUAGCCACAUCUGAACCGAAGAAUAAAACAGUGAAAUGUGGAUUAUUAAACAUUAGGUCUCUCACCCCCGGAAGAUGAUUGAAUAAAGAAAGACAGGUACUUAUGUAUGUCAGCAUAAGGUGGAGUCCAACAGAAGCAAGGCACCCUACAUGCGCACAGCAUGCAGCAGGGGUUGCCAAAAUGAUAUAGAAAACAGCACAUGUAGUGAGAGAACACCCACUAAAAGUUCUGACUACACAUAGUGUGGUGGCAUAUGUGAACUCGCAGGCGUUCACUAUGACAUCAUUAGCACAACAGAGACUGAGUAAAGUUUUAGAUGCUCCAAAUCUGACAUUUACACAUGAAGGAAUCAAUAUGGCAGAUUUAAUGGGAUCAGGAGAACCUCAUGAUUGUACUAAGAAAGCAGAAGUUGAAGGGAAAGUCGGGGAAGAUUUAAAAGCAGAACCUAUCCCUGGAUCUGAGGAUUGGUUCAUAGAUGGCUGCUGUCAUCGUGAUGAAGAAGGAUCGAAAGCAGGCUAUGCUAUAGUCUGCAAACAAGGAACUGAAUUUGAGCCCACGAGGAGCUCCAGCAGUGGAAGGAGCCACGCUGGACUGGUCCUUAUGAGGUCGUUGCCAGAACAACUAUAGCAGGUCAACUAAAAGGGAAAGGCGAUGCCUGGUAUCAUUGGUCGCAGUGUGCGCCAGCACAUGAGAGCUUGCUAGAGGAAAACUCGUCUUCAACUAACACAGGUGUCAACGAUAACGAGCAGAGGCAAAAUAAAUCCUCUCACCUGUGCAACGGGCCAACCAGUAGUCCACCUGGGAGGCCGAAGAAAGAAGAGGAGCAGCUUAGAAGGUCGCCACGUCAGCAGAAAAGGAGCGGUGACAAGUUGAGGACUCCACAAAAGCAGGGGAGUUUCAUUCCAGGAUACAAAGUUUAUAUAAAUGAUGUAAACACACGAGUCAGAGACACGUAAUGAGAAAACUGAUUAGAAUGUUCCUUACAACUACAUGUUUAUUGUAUGCAAUGAUAUUAACUAUGGCUGUGUUGUUUAUUGUCUAUAUUUUGCAGGGCACUCUGGACCACUUGUCUGAACACGGAGGCCAGUCCAGCCCAGCACUUCCUGAGACUGUAGUUGCUAAAACGGGAUCGGUAAAAAACACAAAAGCGCGAGGUGUCAGGUAAAGGUGAUGAGUGUCUCAGCAUGAAUAAUGGCAUAGAGUUGAAUUAUGUUAAAGGGUCUACCCGCUCAUUCACAUUUGAUUUGUGUGAUGUUAUUAAGUGUACAGGAGCUAGUAGUAGCUGGAGAGCGUAUGAGGUAUGGGUCUGCAAUCACCCCAUGAUAUGCUUAGGGCAAAUUUAGUUGAUGCAAAGUCUAAGCCGCUCGCAGAAAGCUUAAUCACCAUUCUGACUGAUCAGAUGGUAACUUCGAGAACAGUAGCUCAAAAGGAACAGGAACCAAAAGAGAGAUUACUUCUGACGACAGAUUACUCUAGACUGAAGCCUAAGGAUUUGAUUGAGCGUGCCACCGGUUUCAAGGACAGUAACCUCUGGCUUGAUUGGGUGGCUCAAAAUGCUAGAGAACAACAUGUAUCUGACUGUGUUGCCUGUGCGUCAGCUAGGCCACGUUUGUUUAUAGAGCCCGCACCGUUGCAUUAGAGGAUGAGUGGGGCUAUGAUUGUAUGUUACAGUUAACUAGAAGUGCAGUGACUACUGGCAACUGUACUUUGUUGUCCAGACUUUUCCCUGCCGUUUCAAAGCAGACAGCAGUGGGAUCAUUUAUGCCAAAACAAGACAACUACACAUGUUUUAAGUUUUCUACAGAUAAUGAAAAGUACAAGGUGGGAGAGAUCGACCCAACUUGGUGUGCUGUCACACUCACGAGACGAACCACCAACAAUGUAAGCGACCCUAGCAUGAUAAUUGGAACAUGGGCAAAAAGUGGGCUCUAUUAUUACUGUGGGGAAAAUACUCGUGUUCCUAUGGGAAGCGUAGGGACAUGUGUGAUGGUGCGAUUGGGAGCUCCGCUCAUGCUUAUUGGGAACCAGGUAAAGGCUAUUCCACAACACAACACACGUACCUUAGCCGCC